AGGGGCCCGCACAAGCAGUGGAGUAUGUGGUUUAAUUCGAAGCAACGCGAAGAACCUUUACCAGGGCUUGACAUCCCUUGAAGCAGCUAGAGAUAGCUGUGUCCUUCGGGACAAGGAGACAGGUGGUGCAUGGUUGUCGUCAGCUCGUGUCGUGAGAUGUUGGGUUAAGUCCCGCAACGAGCGCAACCCCUGUGGUUAGUUGCCAGCAAGUAGCGUUGGGCACUCUAGCCAGACUGCCGGUGAUAAAUCGGAGGAAGGUGGGGACGACGUCAAAUCAUCAUGCCCUUUAUGUCCUGGGCUACACACGUACUACAAUGGCCGUUACAACGGGAAGCGAAGGAGCAAUCCGGAGCAAAUCCCUUAAAGGCGGUCCCAGUUCAGAUUGUGGGCUGAAACUCGCCCACAUGAAGGCGGAAUUGCUAGUAAUUGCAGAUCAGCAUGCUGCCAGUCGAAUACGUUCCGGCCUU
rnacentral:rRNA from 1 species